rnacentral:lncRNA from 1 species
CUUCUAACUGGUGAGCAGCAUUCUCCUGGGAUUGUAAAUAGAUAGUGGAUUUGGGCAGGCAAAUGGCCAUUAGCUGCUGUUUCCCCCUCCCAGUCUCUCCCAUCAUGGGGCCCUUUGGGUUUAGUCUCCACUUAAGCCCUGUUUACGUCUGCUGGGCUGAUUUUAUUGGAGCACAAAAUAACUGUUCACCUCUGUAUGACUGUUUUGAUAGGGUUUACUUUGCAAGAGCAAUCAAGACAACAAGUUGGACAUGGAAAUUUUGGAACAACUUAAAUACAUCGGGUGUGUUAUUAAGGAGACCCUUCGACUGAAUCCCCCAGUUCCAGGAGGGUUUCGGGUUGCUCUGAAGACUUUUGAAUUAAAUGGAUACCAGAUUCCCAAGGGCUGGAAUGUUAUCUACAGUAUCUGUGAUACUCAUGAUGUGGCAGAGAUCUUCACCAACAAGGAAGAAUUUAAUCCUGACCGAUUCAUGCUGCCUCACCCA